rnacentral:rRNA from 1 species
UACGUAGGGUGCAAGCGUUGUCCGGAAUUAUUGGGCGUAAAGAGCUCGUAGGCGGUUCGGCAAGUCAGCUGUGAAAUCUCCACGCUCAACGUGGAGGGGUCAGCUGAUACUGCUGUGACUCGAGUCCGGUAGGGGAGUGUGGAAUUCCCGGUGUAGCGGUGAAAUGCGCAGAUAUCGGGAGGAACACCAGUAGCGAAGGCGGCUCUCUGGGACGGUACUGGACGCUGAGACGCGAAAGCGCGGGGAGCGAACAGG